UUGAGACAGGGUCUGGCCCUGUCGUCUAGGCUGGAAUCACUGGUGCGAGGCUCACUGCAACCUCCACCUCCCAGGUUCAGUGGAUUCUCCCGCCUCAGCCUCCUGAGUAGCUGAGAUUACAGGCAUGUGCCACCACGCCCAACUAAUUUCUGUAUUUCUAGUAGUAACAGGGUUUUGCCUUGGUGCCCAGGCUGGUCUCAAACUCCUGGCCUCAAGUUAUCUGCCCACCUCAGCCACUCUAAGUGCUGAGAUUACGGGUGUGAGGCACCGUAUUGCUCCAGAUUUGGCAGAUUCUGACUGGCUAAUUUUUAUACCUUGACAGGCACUAACCACUAAGACCUGAGUCAUCAUAUACUUUAAAAUAAGUAUCUACAUUUAAAUUUCCUUUUUGAAUUGGUUAUUAGGAAAAUGUCCAACUCCUUAGGCAAAACUUCCUACUUUCUGUCUACAAAUAAAGAGAACCGCACUUUGGGAGGCCUAAGCCACCAUGCCUGGCGCAGCCCAACAUUUUUUAAAAAAGUGAAAACAUGCAUGUGGUAAAGACGGGGGAAAAAUAAAACUGUAAA
rnacentral:lncRNA from 1 species